UGGAAUCUUCAGCUCCAACAUUUACAGUUCCUGCAGAAGCAUUAUCUGAUAAAUCGGGGGCCUUAGAAUGCAUUCUAGGGGAUAGAGUUGCAAGUAGUCCAUGAACUACUGAAUGGAUGGUCUCCUUUACUUCCAAGGAUGUUGGUUCUGAUAGCUCAGCAACCUUGCAUUGAUGUUGAUAAUGAGCAAAGCAAAAAAGAAAGGAAGACAAUAAGAUACGGAUAAGGAAGAUAUAAGCUUCCCAACUUCCAAUUAAGAAAGGGAGUGUGUGAACAAUCACGAGAUCAACUACAACUGUGGAAGCUAGAGAAAGCAUAGCAAGAGAUAGAAAACAUAGAGAAUUAAGUCGAGAAAACAAACUGCAUUGUUGAUUUGGUAGUAAAAUCAAUUAAUAUCAUAGGAAAAAAUAUCCUCCCAGCCUUAAAUAACGAAAUUAUGCAUAAGAAAAGAAGGGAUAGAAGAAGUGCAGCGCGUGAUGUGUGGGUUAAGCGCACACCAUAGAUUUAGUCCCCGUUUGGCCAUAAGCAUCCAUAAGCAUUUUUUACCUUUUUCUGGAAAAUUUUUCACUUAAUUCCAAAAAUGGUGUUUGGCCAUAAGAAUUCCAAAUACAACUCCCAACUUGGAGUUGUAUUUGGAAAAGUGAAAACAAGUUUCUUGUUUUCACUUUUUUAACUCCUACUUCUCUCACAAAAAUUCAAAAACAACUUCAAUUCAUAUUCAUGGCCAAACACAACAACUUCAAAAAAUUGUGAUUUUCAUGGUCAAACACCUACUUAAACCCUGUCACGUACAAAACUCCGAUAUUGAAGUGGAGAAAGGUACACGGUCAGGCCCAUUAUCCAUGGAGUUUUGAACCAUGCGCCACUAACCCUCGGGGAUUUCUUGAAUAUCAAAUAGAGAAAAAUAAAGAAGGGGGGAGAGAAACAUCUUUUUUCUAUUCUUGAUAUGAACAAAAGAGAAGCUGUGAAAUUCUUAAUUCUUUCUCUAGUAGAAAGAAGAAUUUGAGUAGACGGUAUUUCACUUUAAAUCCCACAUAUAUAUUUUCAACAUCGUCCAUAACUCUAUUGUUUCUUUUAGAGAAAGGGAAAGUCCAACCUAAUAAGGUCCUAUUUCAUUAUGAAACUUAAGGUUUUUUCACAACCUUAACCGCGCUUUCUAUCCCAAAAAUUCAUCGAAAAAUAAGCUUGUAACAAAAGAUCUCUCUUAAAUUGCUUCAUUAACUUUCUGUUCCAUCACAUCCACAUCAGUAAGUCAACAAGAAGUCUAUUUUCUUUUUUUUGGGGGGUGGGGGGUGGGGCGUUGACAAGAACUCUAGUAUCCAAGCAGAUUAAUGGAAAACAAAGUUGGAGCCGUGGAACACCUUCCCUGUAAUGUUUUGAAUCUGUCACCUCCCUUGGAUAUCUUUUCACAUACAUAAAAGGUUUAUGCAAAAGAUCCAUAUAGGUAACUAUUAGGGUUAAGCUUAGUCGUUCUUUAAAAUCUGGAGGGUUGAGCUUAGUCGUGUUGGUAGGCUUACAUCAGGUUUAGCGUUUGCUAAGAGUCAUUAGCGGCCUUUUUAAUCUUUUUAUUGAUUCAUAUGUCAGUAGAAAAUAUAUGUCAUCUUGUUCCAUGCUUUAUUACGGAUUUGUUUAUUAUUCCUUGUCUUGAGCCGGGGGUCUAUCGGAAACAGCCUUUCUACUUCUCCGGAGGUAGCAGUAUGGACUGCGUACAUCUUACCCUCCCCAGACCCCACUAUGUGGGAAUACACUGGGUUUGUUGUUGUUGUUGUAUAUGUCAGUAGAAAAUAUAAAGAACCUCUUGAAAAUUGGAACAGAAAGGCUCCAAAUGGACGAAAUGCAUAGUGAAAUUCAUACAGCAAACCCCAACAAGCUUGAUUUGAGACGUAGUAGUUGUCAUUGUAGUAGUAUAAACUGCUUAUGCAGUCAUAAGUAAGGACAGCUGAAUCUUAUACAGAAAGAGAGCAAUUUACCUUCUCCGGAAGCAAUGAUCUCAAGUAGUCCAAUAACUCAUUCUUCUCCUCACCUACAAAUUGUUGCAUCUGAAGUGCUGCACUUUUCGUCUUAACUUCACAGAGUUCCUUCCACACAUAAAAACCACAGACAGGUCAAUUUAAUGUUCAGACAAGAUGAAGCAAGAAAUAUAUAUGACAACUAGCAAGCAGUUUUGGCGGUAAACCCUACAAUUAGAGGGGACUAAACCAUGAAUAUAAUGUGUAUUCACUCUUUUCUGCUGGAGCAACCAACAUACUGUAAAUAACUUUGAUCAGUUUUUUAACUCUGGCAGUCCCCUAGUAAGUAUGCAGGAAGAUCUCUACUGGAGCUAACCCAUUUGACUUUUGCAUGUAUUUUCAGGAUCUACUGGAUGCAGUCUUAAUGAAAUUUUACUUGAUAAAAAAGAUUAGAUGGUGCAUACACUGGCAAGCUAAUUCUACCUUUUUGUAAGAUGCUAAGCGAGACUGUAGGUCUAAUAUGUAUUGCUGAGCUUCAGGGGUCAUUUUACCAACGUCUGGAAUAUCAGAUGAAAGUUCACUCUUUCCUUCUGAUGUUGGUUGUUUAGGUUCUGAUUUUUUGCUCGAUAUAUUCUCCUUCAACAAUGUUUCAUCUCCAACUAUAGAAUCUUCAGGCUUUUGUCUACCAAUGUUUCCAUCAUAUAUUUCAAGGUUCUUUUCAAGACAAAGCCUGUACUCAGCAUUUCGAAGUGUAUAC
rnacentral:lncRNA from 1 species